CGUAUAACCCCUCUUCACCCGAUAAAAAAGAAAGAAAUCAAACACCUCUCCUCAACGAUCUCCUCUUUCCUCUGUGACCUCACCUCUUCUCGAUGGAGCAAAACCGCAGCCUCCUCUUCACUCACGUUCGCCCGCCGACCUUCUCACCCUCGUUUUCCUCCUUGAUGUCUUCACCCUCUUCAUCCUCUCCUCCCUCUUCUCCUUCAACCCCGACCCCAAUCUCCUACCCCCUCGACGGAACCCUAACCCUAGAUUGGAUCCGAACCCUAACCUCGACGGAGAAAAACCGCAGCUGAGCCCAAGGACCUUUGCAUCCUCAGCUAGGAUUUCUUUUGUACUCCGGAUUAUAUAACGCCGGAAAUGUCGAAUGGAUUUGAGUUCAAUAAGGGGAGGUUUUUGCUUGUUUAGGAGAGCAAUGCUUGCACUAAAUCGCCAGAGAAGUCGGUUAGGAAUAAGAGGCACAGAAAGGGUGUGCUCUGUAUUGUUGGUGUUGUCUUCUUUUUAGA